rnacentral:rRNA from 1 species
AGUGAACGCUGGCGGUAGGCCUAACACAUGCAAGUCGAACGGCAGCACAGUAAGAGCCUGCUCUUACGGGUGGCGAGUGGCGGACGGGUGCGGAAUACAUCGGAAUCUACUUUUUCGUGGGGGCUAACGUAGGGAAACUUACGCUAAUACCGCAUACGACCUACGGGUGAAAGCAGGGGAUCUUAGGCUCUUACGUGAUUGUAUGAGCCGAUGUCGGAUUAGCUAGUUGGCGGGGUAAAGGCCCACCAAGGCGACGAUCCGUAGCUGGUCUGAGAGGAUGAUCAGCCACACUGGAACUGAGACACGGUCCAGACUCCUACGGGAGGCAGCAGUGGGGAAUAUUGGACAAUGGGCGCAAGCCUGAUCCAGCCAUGCCGCGUGGGUGAAGAAGGCCUUCGGGUUGUAAAGCCCUUUUGGUGGGAAAGAAAAGCAGCAGGUUAAUACCCCGCUGUUCUGACGGUACCCAAAGAAUAAGCACCGGCUAACUUCGUG